rnacentral:rRNA from 6 species
AACUCUCAACAACGGAUAUCUUGGCUCCCGUAACGAUGAAGAACGCAGCGAAAUGCGAUACGUAGUGUGAAUUGCAGAAUUCCGUGAACCAUCGAAUCUUUGAACGCAAAUUGCGCUCGAGGCCUCGGCUAAGAGCAUGUCUGGCUCAGCGUC